UGGGAAUUUGGACAAUGGGCGAAGCUGAUCCAGCAAUGCCGCGUGUGUGAAGAAGGCCUUCGGGUUGUAAAGCACUUUUGUCCGGAAAGAAAUCCUUGGCUCUAAUACAGUCGGGGGAUGACGGUACCGGAAGAAUAAGCACCGGCUAACUACGUGCCAGCAGCCGCGGUAAUACGUAGGGUGCAAGCGUUAAUCGGAAUUACUGGGCGUAAAGCGUGCGCAGGCGGUUUGCUAAGACCGAUGUGAAAUCCCCGGGCUCAACCUGGGAACUGCAUUGGUGACUGGCAGGCUAGAGUAUGGCAGAGGGGGGUAGAAUUCCACGUGUAGCAGUGAAAUGCGUAGAGAUGUGGAGGAAUACCGAUGGCGAAGGCAGCCCCCUGGGCAAUACUGACGCUCAUGCACGAAAGCGUGGGGAGCAAAACAGGAUUAGAUACCCUGGUAGUCCACGCCCUAAACGAUGUCAACUAGUUGUUGGGGAUUCAUUUCCUUAGUAACGUAGCUAACGCGUGAAGUUGACCGCCUGGGGAGUACGGUCGCAAGAUUAAAACUCAAA
rnacentral:rRNA from 1 species